rnacentral:rRNA from 1 species
AUGACGACAGCAUCGACGGCGUGGGCACUGGAGCGUUGGAGACGGGGAAGGGCGCACGACGUUGUCCCGGUUCUUGACUGCAGGCGUGAUGGGGACAGGAUCCGGCGGCGGCACUCCGGAUCUGGUGCAUGGGUGGAGUCGAAGGUGGCCGAAGAAUGCAGCGAAGACCUGCAAGCUGAAGAAAUCGCCUACAUUAGGAGAACCGAGGAAGACCAGCAAGAACAGAGGAGCAAGAACAUGCAGGCUGAAGAAGAUGUGCAACCUGACGGACAAGACCACCAAGAGGAUGUGCAGCAGCCUGCGUCAGAGCCGCAGGAAAAGCCGGAGGUUGAGGACGCGGACGGGAGGGAGAGUCCCCUGAUGUCGACGUCCAUCGCGCGGCGCGUGCACACGUGGACCUCGUCAGAGAACCUGGCCGACGGCGCCGGCGAGGGGUCGCCCUCCAAGGGGAAGGAGUACAAGUGGACGCUGGCAUGCAAGCUAUACGAGGAGCGGAUCCAGCUCAAGUUUUGCCGCGACCGCGCCAUGGCCGGGGCGUACGCCGACGACCUGCAAGCAUAG